UACGGAGGGUGCAAGCGUUGUCCGGAAUCACUGGGCGUAAAGGGCGCGUAGGCGGCCCGGUAAGUAGGGGGUGAAAUCCUGCGGCUUAACCGCAGGGCUGCCUUCUAAACUGUCGGGCUCGAGCACGGUAGAGGCAGAUGGAAUUCCCGGUGUAGCGGUGGAAUGCGUAGAGAUCGGGAAGAACAUCAGUGGCGAAGGCGGUCUGCUGGGCCGUUGCUGACGCUGAGGCGCGACAGCGUGGGGGAGCAAACAGGG
rnacentral:rRNA from 1 species